GAAUACAUGCUGCGAUAUAUUGCUGGCUCAGGUUUAAUAAAGAGCUGUCUUCACAUUGCAUUUCUUUCUUUUUGAUAGUCUAGCUCCACAGUGAGAGCCUAUCAAACUAGUAAGUCACGAGUGACCAUGAGCCCUGGCUUCAGCUCCCAGUGGAACAGCAGCCAACCAGCCUGGAAUACAUACUCCUUUCCAAGAGCCAGCCUGCACUACCAGUCCCAUGCCAGCUAUACCUACUGUACUGGACACCCUGC
rnacentral:lncRNA from 1 species